CCCUAGUAACUGCGAGUGAAGCGGGAAAAGCUCAAAUUUAAAAUCUGGCGGUCUUUGGYCGUCCGAGUUGUAAUUUAGAGAAGCGUCUUCCGCGCUGGACCGUGCACAAGUCUCCUGGAAUGRAGCGKCAUAGAGGGUGAGAAUCCCGUCUUUGGSACGKAUGCCUGGYGSUUCUGUGAUGCGCUCUCAAAKARUCRAGUUGUUUGGGAAUGCRGCUCAAAAUGKGUGGUGAACUCCAUCUAAAGCUAAAUAUUGGCGAGAGACCGAUAGCGAACAAGUACCGUGAGGGAAAGAUGAAAAGCACUUUGGAAAGAGAGUGAAACAGUACGUGAAAUUGUUGAAAGGGAAACGCUUGAAGUCAGUCGCGUCGACCGAGACUCAGCCUUGCCUCGGCUUGGUGUACUUCUCGGCCCGACGGGUCAGCGUCAAUUUUGCCCCUCAGAUAAUGGCAAGGGAAAGGUGGCACCUUUACGGUGUGUUAUAGUCUCCUGUCGCAUGUGGKRGGUGKKAUUGAGGAACUCAGCGUGCACCUUGGUGUCGGGGCUUCGGCCCACGUCACGCGCUUAGGAUGCUGGCGUAAUGGCUUUAAACGACCCGUCUUGAAACACGGACCAAGGAGUCCAACAUGCACGCGAGUGUUCGGGUGGAAAACCCGUGCGCGUAAUGAAAGUGAAAGUUGGGACCUCUGUCGUGGAGGGCACCGACGCCCGGACCAGACCUUCUGUGACGGAUCUGCGGUAGAGCGUGUGUGUUGGGACCCGAAAGAUGGUGAACUAUGCCUGAAUAGGGUGAAGCCAGAGGAAACUCUGGUGGAGGCUCGUAGCGAUUCUGACGUGCAAAUCGAUCGUCAAAUUUGGGUAUAGG
rnacentral:rRNA from 1 species